rnacentral:rRNA from 1 species
CCUACGGGUGGCAGCAGUGAGGAAUAUUGGUCAAUGGGCGCGAGCCUGAACCAGCCAAGUAGCGUGAAGGAUGACUGCCCUACGGGUUGUAAACUUCUUUUACAAAGGAAUAAAGUGAGGAACGUGUGCCUUUUUGUAUGUACUUUAUGAAUAAGGAUCGGUUACCCCCGGGCCAGCCGCCGCGGUAAUACGGAAGGUCCGGGCGUUACCCGGUUUUAUUGGGUUUAAAGGGGGCGUAGGCCGGUCUUUAAGCGUACCGUGAAAGUUUGUGGCGCAACCAUGAGAGUGCGGCGCGAACUGGAUACCUUGAGUGCGCGGAAGGCAGGCGGAAUUCGUGGUGUAGCGGUGAAAUGCUUAGAUAUCACGAAGAACCCCGAUUGCGAAGGCAGCCUGCCGCAGCGUUACUGACGCUGAAGCACGAAAGCGCGGGUAUCGAACAGGAUUAGAUACCCCAGUAGUC